GUCCACGCAGUAAACGAUGCAGACUAGGCGUAGGUGGACUUGACCCCAUCUGUGCCGGAGCUAACGCGGUAAGUCUGCCGCCUGGGGAGUACGGCCGCAAGGCUAAAACUCAAAGGAAUUGACGGGGGCCCGCACAAGCGGCGGAGCGUGCGGUUUAAUUCGACGCAACGCGCAGAACCUUACCAGGGCUUGACAUGGACCUGCAUGACCGGGAAACCGGGAGGCCUUCGAGGGUGGUCCACAGGUGCUGCAUGGCUGUCGU
rnacentral:rRNA from 1 species